CGGGGUAUAGCACAGUUUGGUAGUGUACCAUCUUGGGGUGAUGGAAGUCGUGGGUUCGAUUCCCGCUACUCCGA
rnacentral:tRNA from 2 species